AGCUUCAAUAACUUUAGAAAUAGUCAAACUUGCCCCAAUUUCAAUCCCAGACUGAUCCCUCCUAAUGACUGAGAGCUCAGGAAUAUGUGUGAGAUCAACAUAUUUGUCAUAGUGUUCUAGUUCCUUAUAGUAACCCAUGCCUGUGUUACCAACCACUAUUUUCAUCUGGACCCCAUUGUUGGCGUCAAUGGUGUCUAAUAAGCUCUGAAGCUCCUCAAUGCUAGCAGGUUUGUACCAAGAGAAUCUUUUAGAUUCUAGAGGCAACGAAGAUUUGACUUCCCUUUUCAAAAACUCGGGGAAAGUACAAAUCUCAUGAUUACGGUUAUAGAAAGGUAAUCUACUUAUCUUUACUUCCUGACUCUCUUUCUUCUUCCAGAAAGAGUUAAAUCCCAAAUCCUCCAUAUCAACAUCAGCAGCAAAACUUUUGCAUGCAUCAGCA
rnacentral:misc_RNA from 1 species